CGAUGUACGUGAAGGAAUCUCUGUACGUACAGUGGUUAGCACGGUGCCUGGCCACAGGGAAAAUUUGGAGGAGCUAAAUUGGGAAUGGAAAAGUUGCAUCUGACAAAAGGCAUCCACUGGAGGUCUUGAAACUUAUCCCCAGCAGAUAAGAGGGGGGCCACUGUAAAAGGAAAGGAGAAGGAGAAAUGGA